GGUAAUGAGCUUGUAUUAUGACUGAAUAGCAUCACUUUAUCACUUUAACGCAGAUGGAGGCCUAAAUAACCAUAGGGCAAUGGUUCUUCUUAGAUGCAGAAGGACACAUUUAUAUAAUCUUAGGGACCCCAUCUCUGAGGUCACUCAUAAUUUAUAUUAAUUCAUUGUUAUUGCCAUUGCCCCAAGAAUAGAUAAGGCUAAGACAUCCCGUAGUACAGGUAGCAGAGAUAUAAACUAUUCUUAUUCUUGUGUCUUGUCUAUAGGAAGGGAGUGUAUCCUGGUGUAUGACAGCAUAUAGUAGAGACCACUGUCAAUUAGGGCCUGUGAACUGAGACAGGGUGACUGGCUAAGUCCACAACCCAUUAGAAACCCAGAAAUAAUCAAAUCAUGAGGGAUCAUGGAAAGGAAGCUGAAUUUGCCGAGUUUUGCCACGUGGGCAUUGCAUGCCUAUGUGAUUAACCACCAAUAAAAACCUGGGACAUCAAAUAAUAAAUAAGCUGCUCUAAUUGCCAAGAAUUCACAUGUGGUUGUAUGCAGCAUUACUGGGAGAUUGAAGUGUAUCUGCAUGUGAUUCUACUGUGAUGGACACUUGUAAGUUUGUGCCUGGAGUCUCCUGGACUUUGCCCUGAGAAUCUUUUUCCUUUGUUGAUAUGACUCUGCAUCCUUUUGUUUUAAUAAACUGUAAACAUGAGUAUAA
ensembl:lncRNA novel transcript